CAUUUUUACUCCCUAAUGUAUCAUCAGAGCACUGAACGACGUGAAUGUUCUACAAGAUCGGGAUUAAUAGAAGGAUAACUGGAUUUAUGUGUCUAACUGAAUAAGAGAGCUAUAAUCUAAACAUACUUCAAGAUAAUCCUAACCUCACCAAUUCAGAAGGUGAAGCAUUUAACAAAUUGAGGACACUUCAACUGCAGCCUUUCUACGUUCAACAUAACCAACUCCAUCCACCGUUUCACGUCACGAUACAGUUACCCUUGCUUGCUCACGAUACAGAUCAUUUCACUUAACGCAUUUGAACCACUCCCCGACGUGCCACAGUUCGAGUUGGUGAGCUGGACGAACUCAAUUGAAGGAGCCAACAACCGCCACACGGAAGAUCGACCGUCGAAUUUCCAGCCAGCCAAACUACAUACGAUCACGUUAUAAGAGGCCGCAGUAUCAGCGUAUGGCGUAUGAAUAAUGAAUGAGUCUCGGACUGCAUAGUAAGACUGAGAAUACGGUACUGUUACAUCCAGCGAAAAGGUGGGGUUGCACAGUUAAAACUCGUGCAACGAGACUGCCGGCCAAUAAGCAGGCAUAAAGGCGACGGCGUUAAAUAACCGGUACUCGUUCCAUCGGCCGAUUGCUUUUUGUUGUAGGCCACAGCACGUCAGCUCGAGUACCACUCU